ACCUACGGGGGGCAGCAGUGGGGAAUAUUGCACAAGGGGGGAAACCCUGAUGCAGCGACGCCGCGUGAGUGAAGAAGUAUUUCGGUACGUAAGGCUCUAUCAGCAGGGAAGAAAAAAAGUCCUUUGGACUUUGGACGGAACCUGACCAAGAAGCCCCGGCUAACUACGUGCCAGCAGCCGCGGUAAUACGUAGGGGGCAGGCGUUAUCCGGAUUUACUGGGUGUAAAGGGGGCGUAGGCGGCCUGCUAAGUCUGGAGUGAAAGGUACCG
rnacentral:rRNA from 1 species